UACAGAGGGUGCAAGCGUUGUUCGGAAUUAUUGGGCGUAAAGGGCGUGUAGGCGGUUAUCUAAGUCUUCUGUGAAAUCUACGGGCUUAGCCUGUAAAGUGCAGAGGAAACUGGGUGACUAGAGUGUCGGAGAGGGCAGGGGAAUACCCAGUGUAGAGGUGAAAUUCGUAGAGAUUGGGUGGAACACCAGUGGCGAAGGCGCCUGCCUGGCUGACAACUGACGCUGAGACUCGAAAGCAUGGGGAGCAAACAGG
rnacentral:rRNA from 1 species